rnacentral:ncRNA from 2 species
UACGUAGGGUGCGAGCGUUGUUCGGAAUCAUUGGGCGUAAAGCGUGAGUAGGUGGUUUGCUAAGUCGGGUGUGAAAUCCCUGGGCUCAACCCAGGAAGUGCAUUCGAAACUAGCUGGCUAGAAGAUGGUAGAGGAAGGUGGAAUUCCAAGUGUAGAGGUGAAAUUCGUAGAUAUUUGGAGGAAUACCGGCGGCGAAGGCGGCCUUCUGGACCAUUCUUGACACUGAGACACGAAAGCGUGGGUAGCAAACAGG